UCGGGAGUGCCCUCGUGGCUCAACCUGCAACCCCAUGUUUUAAACACCCUUGUUUCUUUGGCGGGUUUGCCCGUCAGAAGAAUUCUCAAACUCGUUAUAAACGUGUCAUCUGAAUAACCAUAAAAUAAAAUUA
rnacentral:misc_RNA from 1 species